rnacentral:rRNA from 1 species
UGGAGAAAAGCAGGGGAUCGCAAGACCUUGCGCUUUUGGAGCGGCCGAUGCCUGAUUAGCUAGUUGGUGAGGUAAAGGCUUACCAAGGCUUCGAUCAGUAGCUGGUCUGAGAGGACGACCAGCCACACUGGGACUGAGACACGGCCCAGACUCCUACGGGAGGCAGCAGUGGGGAAUUUUGGACAAUGGGGGAAACCCUGAUCCAGCCAUGCCGCGUGANUGAAGAAGGCCUUCGGGUUGUAAAGCUCUUUCAGCCGGAACGAAACGGUCACGGCUAAUACCUGUGAUCACUGACGGUACCGGAAGAAGAAGCACCGGCUAACUACGUGCCAGCAGCCGCGGUAAUACGUAGGGUGCAAGCGUUAAUCGGAAUUACUGGGCGUAAAGCGUGCGCAGGCGGUUUUGUAAGUCAGAUGUGAAAAAANCCGGGNCUUAGGUNUCNCAAA